rnacentral:rRNA from 1 species
UACGUAGGGCGCAAGCGUUGUCCGGAAUUAUUGGGCGUAAAGAGCUCGUAGGCGGUUUGUCGCGUCUGCUGUGAAAACCUAAGGCUCAACCUUGGGCUUGCAGUGGGUACGGGCAGACUAGAGUGCGGUAGGGGUGACUGGAAUUCCUGGUGUAGCGGUGGAAUGCGCAGAUAUCAGGAGGAACACCGAUGGCGAAGGUAGGUCACUGGGCCGCAACUGACGCUGAGGAGCGAAAGCAUGGGGAGCGAACAGG